rnacentral:tRNA from 1 species
UGGCUCAGUGGUAGAGCCCGUGCCUUGCAUGCAUGAGGCCCUGGGUUCGAUUCCUCAG